rnacentral:tRNA from 1 species
GAAGUGUUAGUCUAAAAAGACAGUUGAUUUCGACUCAACAGAUUAUGGUUUAACCCAUAACACUUCU